GAUGAACGCUGGCGGCGUGCCUAACACAUGCAAGUCGAGCGGACAGACGAUGCUCUUGCUCGGCUGACGUGAGGGGCGGGCGUGUGAGUCACACGAGUAUACCCGACCUAUAAGGCUGAGAUCACUACGGGAAAGCGGAUAUCACACCCGAUAAGAUCUUGAACCGGGGGGUUCUUUGGAAAUCUACGGUUUUGCUGUCCCUAAUUGCGGGUUACGGGCUGUAUUGGGUGGUUGGUAAGGUAACGGCCUACCAAGGCUAGUCUGCGUAGCCGACGUGAGAGGGUGAUCGGCCACACUGGAACUGAGACACGGUCCAGACUACUACGGGAGGCAGCAGUGGGGAAUCUUCGGCAAUGGGCGAAAGCAUGACGCAGCAAUGCCGCGUGUGUGACGAAGGUCUUCGGAUCGUAAAGCCCUCUUAUUAGGGAGGAACAGCUGUGGAAUUAAACAUGGCUGUUUUGACGGUACCUACUAAAAAAGCACCGGCUAACUACGUG
rnacentral:rRNA from 1 species